GAAAUCAAUAUACAUUAUUUAUGCAGGCUUCUAAUAUUGAAAAUACAUGCUGGACAUUUAGACGGACUUAGGAACGAACUCGAUUUGUAUAUCAAAUUAUACGAUUAUACACACGAGCUGUUCCAAUUCUACUGACUUCAACUAACACUGCAUUUCACAUGUCUAGAUUACAAACACUUCAUUUAUACAUUUUACUUCUGAAUCUGAUUAUUUAUAGGGCCUAUUGCAUUCACAUAUUCAUAAUAGGAUUUCAAAUCACUUCAAUAGUCCAAUUAAUUCUAACUAAUGUUCAAUCUAACACGAGUCCUAAAUCCAACACUUCAUACAACAAUUCGAAUGAAAAAACUGUGUUACCAACGUGAAAAUACAAGUAUUACACAUUCAUUACAAUAAUCAAUCUUCCAAACGGUAAAACAGACAAAGAGGAGCUCAAAUCCAACUUCUAUUUCAAUUCAACUCAAAGCUACAUCAGGACUGUUCACAAGUGUACCUGGAAAUUGAAGCAAAAUAAGAGAAAGGAGGAAACCAGCUGGGUAGUAGAACAACAACAACAAUUUCAACUCUAAAAAAAACUAGGAAGAAGAUCAAUAGUCCAAAUAGAAUAGAAGGAUUGACCAAAUCCACACCAAAGAAAGCCAAAUGAAUUCAAAUGCAUCCAGAAACUCCAGUAAACAUCAAAACAACCAAAAACCAGUUCAAUUUAUCCGAAACUUCUUAAUACCAAAACAACGUGAUCCAGAAACAAUAAUGACCAAUGGAGAAACAAUAUCGAAUAAAAGUAGAUCAAAAACCCAAUGGAACGGUAUAUUUUUGCAUUUAUCUCAUUUUUCUGUUUUUAGAUCGUUUUUUUUUUGGUUUUCGAGAUUCAAAUUCCUACUCUAGAUCUGAAGAGAGACUAGUCUAAGAGAGAAUUUGGAAUUAGAAAUGACAAGAAAA
rnacentral:lncRNA from 1 species